rnacentral:lncRNA from 1 species
AACCGAUCUACAUCAACAUCAUCUAUAUUAUACCCAACCUCAAGGGCAUCUCUGAGUUCCUUAGCUAUUACAAUGGGAAGGUAGACAUAAUAAAGAGAGUCAAAUGAGGCAAGAAAUCCUACAGCAACAAUGAAAGUCUGUUUCUUCAGAAUUUUUAAUUUGGAAACUCAAAGAUCCUAUUUCUUAAGGACUAGUUGCAGAAAGGUUAAUCUG